rnacentral:rRNA from 1 species
CGAGUUUGAUCCUGGCUCAGGAUGAACGCUAGCGGCAGGCUUAACACAUGCAAGUCGAGGGGUAUGGUUUUCGGACCAAGAGACCGGCGCACGGGUGCGUAACGCGUAUGCAAUCUACUUUGCAGAGGGAUAGCCAGAGAAAUUUGGAUUAAUACCUCAUAGUAUAGUACUUUGGCAUCAAGGAACUAUUAAAGUCACAACGGCAAAAGAUGAGCAUGCGUCCCAUUAGCUAGUUGGUAAGGUAACGGCUUACCAAGGCUACGAUGGGUAGGGGUCCUGAGAGGGAGAUCCCCCACACUGGUACUGAGACACGGACCAGACUCCUACGGGAGGCAGCAGUGAGGAAUAUUGGACAAUGGGCGCAAGCCUGAUCCAGCCAUGCCGCGUGCAGGAUGACGGUCCUAUGGAUUGUAAACUGCUUUUAUACAGGAAGAAACACUCCGACGUGUCGGAGCUUGACGGUACUGUAAGAAUAAGGAUCGGCUAACUCCGUG